GAGAGUAGGCGUUGGCGGUUGCAGACCAGUUAGCUUAACUGAUUUGAGGAAAGUCCGGACUCCCGAAAGACCAGACUUGCUGGAUAACGUCCAGUGCGAGCGAUCGUGAGGAUAGUGCCACAGAAAAAUACCGCCAAGAUUGGGGACUGGGGACUAGGGGUUGGGGACUGGGGAAGAAACUUCCCAAUCCCUAAUCCCCCAUACCCAAUACCCAACUCUUGGUAAGGGUGCAAAGGUGCGGUAAGAGCGCACCAGCAGUAUCGAGAGGUACUGGCUCGGUAAACCCCGGUUGGGAGCAAGGCCGAAGAACUAUGGUUGGUCUUUUACCAGUUCCGCUAUCAGAGAGCCGCUAGAGGCGUUUGGUAACAAACGUCCCAGAUAGAUAAUCGCCCUCGUGUAAAGCAAUUUACACAGAGAACAGAACCCGGCUUACCACCAACUCUCUCCU
rnacentral:RNase_P_RNA from 9 species